AAUUUUUUAAAGAAAUUUUCAACAAUUUAAAAAGAAAGUGUAGCCUAUAGAACUGAAUAGAUAUUUGAUGAGAGUAAGGAAUUAUAGUUAAUUUUUAUUUAAGUGAGAUAAUGCUAUUGAGGUAAUGCUAAAAGUGUCCUUAACUUUUAGAAAUGCAUGUUAAAUUAUCGACAGGUGAGGUGAUUUGAUGUCUGUGUCCAGAUAGUCCUGGCAGAUAGAAGAAAUAAGAUUGGCCCUAUGUUGAUAAUUAUUGAAACUAGUUGAUAGGUAGAAAGAUCUUUUAAGGGACGUCUGGGUGGCUCAACUGGUUGAGCAUCUCACUCUUGAUUUUGCCUCAGGUCAUGAUCUCAUGGUUCCUGAGUUUGAACUCCACAUCAGGCUCUGCGCUGAUAGCAGAGGGAUUCUCUCUCUCCCUCUCUCUCUCUCUCUCUCUCUGCCCCUCCCCCGCCCGUGCACCAUGCUUUCUCUCUAAAUAAAUGAAUAAAUAAACAUUUAAAUCUAUCUAUCUACCUAUCUAUCUAUGUAUCUAUGUAUAUUUAUAUUUGAAACCCUUCAGAAUAACUUUUAACAAAUAAGUAAACCCAAGUCACUCCAAUAUUUUCCCAGUAUAUUCUCCCAAAGAAGGCUCUUCAGUGUUAGAAUGGUUGUUCCCUCACAAGUAGUACGCAGGUUGAGACCAGAGAAAGAAUUCCAAGUGGCGGGUAAAACCCCAGGCCAUCAUGGGGGGGCCAAACCCUCUUUCAAAUGGAGUGCUAUUUACUUAGGGGGUGAGGGGCUCUGUCUUGUGUGUCUUAAACCAGACUGUUCCCUGUUGGGUGGAAGCAACAUAUUACACCUGGACAGCUCCCUGCCCCAACCUAGGUUAAGAAAUGGGAUUUGUAAAGACUAGUAGGUUGGGUCCAAGGCAGAGGGAGGAGGUAAAAUUAGGUGUCUCUUUUUGUGAGGCUUGGAUGAGGUUGAGGUCUGAGAUCAGAGGUCAAGGAUGGGGCUGGAGGGAUGGGCGUGUCACUAAGGUGAGUGUGCUGUGCCAAGACCUAAGAGGCUUCGGGAGCUGACCUUCCUGGCCUUCAUGCCUUUCUCCUUGGUGCCAGUUCUCUGGGAUGGAGACAGAGCUCCUACCCAUCUCCCCCUCAACCCCCCUGCCCAUCUCCCUCCCACACCAUUCUCCUCUCUUCUCUGUCCAGUUCUCUGAUCCAUUUCCAUUCUCUCCUUCCUCAAGCCCCUUCCUCAUCUCCAUUUGCCAUUCCCUGUCCUCCGCCCUGCCAGACACCCCAGUUCAGGGUCCAGGAGAAGGACAGCUUUUAUGUGGCUUGUAAAAUUCUAUUAUAUCUGUAUUCAAAACCUAGCAGCUGAGAAACACUGGUAAUAAGCGUGUUAUUAAGCGUGUAAAUACACUUCCACUCCAAGGCCUCUAAGGGGCAAGGGCUGGAUUCUCAGGCUGGGCAUCUCCCCUGCUUGUAAGUCCCUCCCCACCUGGCCUCCACCCCAGACUUGGACCUUGUGCCAAGGCCCAGGUCUCCUCCAGUCUCCAACCACCACCGUCCUGCAAAACCCAGACUCUUGGAGAAAGGGGGCGGGGGAAGGGGCCGAAGAAAAAAAACAUUAGGAAAAAAACUCCCACCCAGAGAGCAUUCUUUCUGCAGCACUCAGGAAAAAGGAUGUCUCACAGGGGACGGGAAGGCGAAAUUUUUUCACAUCCAAAUGGAUUGCAAUUUCCCUCCAUUUAGCACCUGAAGGUAAUUAGCUCGAAGAGACUGCCGAGUGCGAAACACGUUCACGGAACAUUAACUCUCACACAUUCUCCAGUUGCAGGGAAUUAAUAGGAAAGAUUAAAGUUUAAAGAGAGCAAAAUGCCAUUACCUCGCCAGCCACCUCUCUCCGCGGCAGUCUCCAGCCCCCGAAAACCUUCGGCCAGUGCUUGGGCCGGGGCUCGGGUCUCAGCCUCCAGCCUGGCUGGCUGGGGCAUCUGGGUGUGCCUCACCAAGAAGGCUAGCAUGUGCUGAUGUGCACGCACGUGUGCAAAACAGGGCAGCUCUGCAAGGCCAGUGCAGCCCCCCUUCCAUCCCCGAGAAGUUUGGGGUGGACAGGGCAGGUGUGUUCUCAUAGGCUGACUCCUGGAAUUGGUGUGUAUGGUGGCCCUGGGCGGAUGGGGGAGACACUAGGAAGGGUUAUUAGCUUGGGUGUGCCCUGUGAUUUCGGUGCAGAGGGCGAGAUCUGGCAGCUUGGCCGGCAAUAGAGAAAUGGAGGGUGUCAGUCCCACCUUGGGUGUGUAGAGAGGCACUGGGUGAAGUGAUGGAGAGAGUUGCUUCCACUCUUGUGCGGCAGGCAGGAGCCACAAACAUACGCGUGCAUGCAUACGCAGGCUCCCACGACCACACACAGACGGCCUUUGUCACUCUGCUUUUUUCAAAGUUUAUGUAGGCUUCAAAUUGGAAAGGUUUCUGUGUUGCUUCAGUAUUUUAGGAAAAGAUGAAAGACAGAGAGAGGGAGACAGAGAGUGGGGGAGAGAGAGAGUGAGGGAGAGAGAGAGGGGCAGAGGCAGGCAGGAGAGAGAGAGCGCGAGAUGAAAUUGAGACAUGGAAGAAUUUAUUGCCCAGAAAAUUCCAUUCUGCUAUCUGAUUCAAAAAGUCCAGUCCCCCCAGCUUCGGAAAAUCUAUUUUCCACAUUUUAAUACCCUGCAGAACAGUCCUCAUAACUCAUCCGAGUGUGUUAAGCACAGUUUUAUUAGAUCUGAAACAAAUUUUGGUGGGGAGAUACUAUAGGUCAUUAACCAUGGAGUAAUUUUAUCCUUGUUUCCCUAAUGAUGCCAUAAUGGCGAGCGAAUUUCUUAACUAAAGACCAAAGAACAUUUUGAAGGUCAGUUUCAUCUGUGAGCUCCUUCAAGCGCUUCUCAGAGAAGAUUGGAAAACUCGCCGAUUUUUUGAAGAGUCAUUAAUAAUGUGAAAGCUGAAAGCACCCUCCAUUUGCGUUCCUGCUUUUUACCUUUUAAUUUUAUAUCGUCCCCGCUCAGAGCCCCGCUCCCACUCCCUCACCCUCCUCUGGACCUCCCGCCUGCCUACCCACCCCACGCAGGGAACAAGGCUGCCCCAUACCAGGUACCAGGCUAGCUGUGAGGGGCAGACAGGGGCUGCAGGAGGGGAGGCAGAAGAGCUAGAGAGGCCAGGGCCCCAAAGAGACGGGGGCCUUUGCUAAAUUCCCAGAAUGUGGUGUACUGUGUGAGGGUAUUGUUAUAGGCAUGGUACACGUGUGCGUGUGUGCAUGUGUGCAAAUGUGCAGUGCAGGAGACUGGGGUCUCUGGACUGCAUGCUGGCUGUGCACACACAUGCUAGGGACCAAUGGGGACUUAGUAGUCUCUAUAGGUGGGUGCCCUCUGUUGGACGCAGGUGGGGAAAGAGAACUGGAAACCAGCACUGGGUCCAGUGGCUUGGGCAGUGGGUCAGCUGGGGGACUUGAGGUAUCUCCCAACAGAGAUGGACAACACGUGCAAGGCAUGAAACAAUUGAUAGCGCAUUGUGAGCCCUGAUUACAAUGUGUGCACAUGAGCGUAUAUGUCCUGGGGGUGGUGAGGUCAUCAAGGCAAGAGCCCCAAGGGCCCUCUCUACUGGCAAAUAUUUAGACACUUGAAACAGUGACCAUUGUCUGCCCAUCCCUCACUCCUUGGACCACUCACUCCUUGCUCCCCAGGCCUGGAGCCCUUCAUUUGCCCAGUUUACUCCCUCCUAAUCUCCAGUCUCUGGCUCCUUGGACCCCCCCCCCCCACCUCCCAGUUCCACCCCUUCCCCUGAACACUCCUCCCUCCAGCUCCUCACCUAUCUGAUGGCUAUCAUUGCAGGGUGCCCAGCCAGGAGCUGGGGUGGGACAGCAUCUCUGUGUGUGUGCAGGUUUGGGGAGGAGGGGGCGGUGUGGUGACACUCCAUGCUCCCAGAUGUGGUGGCAGCGAUAAUUCCAAUUUUAUGCCUUUGUUAUGGCUUUAAUCACUUUCUUUAUGCGUUUUGUUCCAGCGAUCAGGGAGAGACACCUGAUAGGCAAAGAGGAUACCAGGGGAACCAUUUUUAUUUGGAAUGUGGUGAGAAGUCUAAUUAGAAUCUGAAUUCUGCUGAGCCUUGAAAUGGCCAGCACUUUAUCCUGAUCGCCUUAGAUAUUGUUUCGAGUCAAUCAUCUGUCAUGGUGCGGCAGGAGAGCCUCUCCCUUCACACCGCACCCCUCCCGCCACGGGGCCAGCCCAGGCACACUGGGGGAGGGGAGGCUCAGGCUUCCGCCCUCGUAGGGGUCUGUGCCUCCUUCUGGGGAGGGGGUGCUGUUUGGUAUAGCCAACCCUCCAUUGGUGAGGGCUGUCUUUGCUGGGUGCUGAGUUUCAGCUCAUGGGGGUGGAGAGAGGGGCUGCAGAAAGAGGGGCCUGAGAGGCCUGUAUUAGAAUUAGGAAAUAUUGAGGUGAGGCCAAGCUAGUCUGGGGCACCUCCUAAAUGCUCUCAGUACACUGACCACCCCACCUCCUAUCAAUGGCUCACAGCGACUCUCCUCUCUUUACUGUCCCCUGGACAUAUUGUAUCUCUGCCACCUGCUCACUGUCCCUCAAACUCACUGCUCCCAUUGCCAACCCCUCCCUGACCAACACUUGCCACAAGUUCAGCUCCUGGUCUCCGACUUUCCUUCCUCCAGUCCUGCCGCUGGACCACCAAUCCGGCUUGUUCUGCCAUCUGUCGAGUCCCUGGACUGGUUCCACCUCCUCCAGAAAGCCUUCCCUGACUACCUGAACCCACACAGAGCUCGGCUGCAGCGGGGGGAGAUGAAAAGGAGGAGAAACUGUUGGAUAAAAAGAAAUUCAAAAAAAAAAAAUCUCUCCCAAAUGUAGCCACAGUGCAAAGCUCUCCACUGUUCUCUCCAGUCUCUCAGGAGAUCUUAGUCACUUGGGAACUUGCAGCUGUCACCCCCGAGCAGGUGGGAGAGCCAAACUCUGGGAAGAUGAAGUUCUCCUCAAGAGAAAUGAAAACGUGGGCCUACACAAAAACUUGUACAACGAUGGUUGGAGCAGUAUUUUUCAUAAUGGCCCAAAAGUGGAAAGAACCCAAAUAUCCAUCAACUGGUGAAUACGUAAAUAAAAUGUAGUAUAUCCAUACAAUGGGAUAUUAUUUGGUCAUGAAAAGUAAUGAAGUACUGAUUCAUGUUACAACAUGGGUGAAUAUUGAAGACUCUAUGUUAAGUAAAAGAAGCCAAUCACCAAAAAACCCCAAA